UCCAUGGUGACCGUAUCCUGAACGCCAACUCGCUUGUGCGCAUCGAGAAGCUGAAGUCGCGCGGGCCCUGGAAGAAGGAAACGACGAGAGAAAGGAAGCAAGCAAGACCCGCAGCACCGCACGGACACGGUAGCACGGACACGGGCGGGCGGGCGGCGGCCCUGCUGA
rnacentral:SRP_RNA from 14 species